CCCUCUCCCGCGCCCCCCGCGGGGUGACGGACGCGCUUCCCCGCUACCGGGAGUUGCUCCUUUUCCUGCCUUCAUCGUCAUUUUAAUUUUUGUCCAAGCCUUUCAAAGGCAACCAGAGCAAGAGUCUGACAACAGCCCACCCACUGACAGCACAGGGAAGACAUGAUGGGGGUGUGUUGC